UUGAAAGACCGGUUCCCGUACGAUCACCGAAGUUAAGCAACGUCGAGUCUGGUCAAUAUCUAGAUGGAUGAUCGCUUCGGAAUACCAGGUGG